rnacentral:lncRNA from 1 species
GUGCAGUAACUCUCUACUAAACUGCCCACUGGGGUCACCUUUUCACAUUGUCUCAGACAUCCUAAAGUAGCCCCACUCGGUGACACAAGUCCCUGGCUCUCCCGGAAACCCCCACACUAAUCAGCUUUACAAAAUCCAGUCUCCUUAGGGCUGAGGAUCACAGAAUAAUGAACACACGUGAAAAUGACUUCUUUUGACUGCAGUUACAAAGUGAAGGCCCUUCCUGGAGGGUGGGAGGGUGACUGGGGCUUUGGAUUGAAAUGUGGACAAAAAUAGCAUGUGUAUUCUGAACAAAU